rnacentral:lncRNA from 10 species
AGAUCAGGUUAACUACAUGAGAAUAUGAAGGAAAAAAUGCCACAUAAAACUUCAAAACAGGGGAGACACACGAACUGUCCCGGACGAACAUUUUAAAGAUGGAGUCUGGCACUGUUGCCCAGGUGGACUGCAGUGGCGUGAUCUCAGCUCACAGCAACCUCUGCCUCCCGGCUUCAAGCAGUUCUCCUGCCUCAACCCCCCAAGUAGCUGGGAUUACAGGGGCCCGCCACCACGCCCCGCUAAUUUUUUGUAUUUUUAGUAGAGACGGGGUUUCACUAUGUUGGCCAGGCUGGUCUCAAACGUCAUGAUCCACCUGCCUCGGCCUCCCGAAGUGCUGGGACUACAGGCGUGAGCCACCGCGCCUGGCUGGAUCCUCUAAUUUAUAAUUCCUCCAGAUAGAGCUGCUUAUAGUUUACCAAUUCACUGUUAUUAAAGUCUGC